UUCUAUACAACUAAGUGAGGUCAUUCUUUGUUGAUUCAUACUGUAAAGUGCUGGCUAUCAUGUGUUUGAAGAUACCCUAAACUUAACCUAACAUAACGUAUCAAAACCCCAAACAGUUACUAUAGGUCUUGACUCAGAAAAUUCAUAUAUGCUUCCUUACUAACGAGACUUUCUAUACAACUAAGUGAGGUCAUUCUUUGUUGAUUUAUACUGUAAAGUGCUGGCUAUCAUGUGUUUGAAGACACCCUAAACUUAACCUAACAUAACCUAUCAAAACCGCAAACAGUUACUAUAGGUCUUGACUCAGAAAAUUCAUAUAUGCUUCCUUACUAAUGAGACUUUCUAUACAACUAAGUGAGGUCAUUCUUUGUUGAUUUAUACUGUAAAGUGCUGGCUAUCAUGUGUUUGAAGAUACCCUAAACUUAACCUAACAUAACCUAUCAAAACCACUAACAGUUACUAUAGGUCUUGUCUCAGAAAAUUCAUAUAUGCUUCCUUACUAAUGAGACUUUCAAUACAACUAAGUGAGGUCAUUCUUUGUUGAUUUAUACUGUAAAGUGCUGGCUAUCAUGUGUUUGAAGAUACCCUAAACUUAACCUAACAUAACCUAUCAAAACCCGAAACAGUUAUUAUAUGGAUUGACUCAGAAAAUUCAUAUAUGCUUCCUUACUAAUGAGACUUUCUAUACAACUAAGUGAGGUCAUUCUUUGUUGAUAUAUACUGUAAAGUGCUGGCUAUCAUGUGUUUGAAGAUACCCUAAACUUAACCUAACAUAACCUAUCAAAACCCCAAACAGUUACUAUAUAUGGAUUAACUCAGAAAAUUCAUAUAUGCUUCCUUACUAAUGAGACUUUCAAUACAACUAUGUGAGGUCAUUCUUUGUUGAUAUAUACUGUAAAAUGCUGGCUAUCAUCUGUUUGAAGAUACCCUAAACUUAACCUAACAUAACCUAUCAAAACCCAAAAGUUACUAUAUAUGGAUUGACUCAGAAAAUUCAUAAAUGCUUCCUUACUAAUGAGACUUUCUAUACAACUAAGUGAGGUCAUUCUUUGAUGAUUUAUACUGUAAAGUGCUGGCUGUCAUGUGUUUGAAGAUACCCUAAACUUAACCUAACAUAACCUAUCAAAACCCCAAACAGUUACUAUAUGGAUUGAUUCAGAAAAUUCAUAUAUGCUUCCUUACUAGUGAGACUUUCUAUAGAACUAAGUGAGGUCAUUCUUUGUUGAUAUAUACUGUAAAAUGCUGGCUAUCAUGUGUUUGAAGACACCCUAAACUUAACCUAACAUAACCUAUCAAAACCCCAAACAGUUACUAUAGGUCUUGACUCAGAAAAUUCAUAUAUGAUUCCUUACUAAUGAGACUUUCUAUACAACUAUGUGAGGUCAUUCAUUGUUGAUUUAUACUGUAAAGUGCUGGCUAUCAUGUGUUUGAAGAUACCCUAAACUUAACCUAACAUAACCUAUCAAAACCACUAACAGUUACUAUAGGUCUUGUCUCAGAAAAUUCAUAUAUGCUUCCUUACUAAUGAGACUUUCAAUACAACUAAGUGAGGUCAUUCUUUGUUGAUUCAUACUGUAAAGUGCUGGCUAUCAUGUGUUUGAAGAUACCCUAAACUUAACCUAACAUAACCUAUCAAAACCCGAAACAGUUAUUAUAUGGAUUGACUCAGAAAAUUCAUAUAUGCUUCCUUACUAAUGAGACUUUCUAUACAACUAAGUGAGGUCAUUCUUUGUUGAUAUAUACUGUAAAGUGCUGGCUAUCAUGUGUUUGAAGAUACCCUAAACUUAACCUAACAUAACCUAUCAAAACCCCAAACAGUUACUACAGGUCUUGACUCAGAAAAUUCAUAUAUGCUUCCUUACUAAUGAGACUUUCUAUACAACUAAGUGAGGUCAUUCUUUGUUGAUUUAUACUGUAAAGUGCUGGCUAUCAUGUGUUUGAAGAUACCCUAAACUUAACCUAACAUAACCUAUCAAAACCCCAAACAGUUACUAUAGGUCUUGACUCAGAAAAUUCAUAUAUGCUUCCUUACUAAUGAGACUUUCAAUACAACUAAGUGAGGUCAUUCUUUGUUGAUUUAUACUGUAAAGUGCUGGCUAUCAUGUGUUUGAAGAUACCCUAAACUUAACCUAACAUAACCUAUCAAAACCCCAAACAGUUACUAUAGGUCUUGACUCAGAAAAUUCAUAUAUGCUUCCUUAGUAAUGAGACUUUCUAUACAACUAAGUGAGGUCAUUCUUUGUUGAUUUAUACUGUAAAGUGCUGGCUAUCAUGUGUUUGAAGAUACCCUAAACUUAACCUAACCUAACCUAUCAAAACCCCCUAUUACUAAACCAAAGCUUGCCUAUAUCUCUCCUAAAUCUAUACUUUUUUUUUUAUUUAAAUCCAUUACUGCGAGUUCUAUCCUGCUGUUGGCUAAUUCUCAGUACUUUACUUAUAUCGCCUUUGUUGUAACCCUUGACCCAUUUGAAUACUUCUAUCAGAUCUCCCCGCAAGAAGAGUUCCAUGAUAACACAGUUGCCUCCAUAAUACUUUUUUAAAUGCAGAAGAAACACUUUAAAUUUAAAUGACAAGAAGAUUUAUAGGAGACACAGUGCGGUGUGAUGGCUGUGAAACUGACAAGGAAAAUCUUCAUCACUUUUUACUGUAUUGUGAAAACCUAAAAGAAAUAACACAGAAAUAUAAGACAUCUGAUCACCCUUAGAAAGAAAAUUGGCUGGGAUAACUCCUCUUCAGUGACACCAUUGGUAAAAACUUAUUGAAAAAAGCUCUGAGUGAACUUUGGAAAACAAGGAUAAAGAAUAGAAAACAAAAAAAGCAGGGGGGCCGUUGCAAAGGCUGACCCCAGGAACAUCAACAGGGGGAGAUGAAGAGAAAGAGAAACGGAUUCAUUCUUCCCCUUUUCACUGUCUUCUACUUAACUACAGUCCACUUUAGCCACUUGGAAGGGUGAAUUGAUCUUCUAGCUAACUUUUCGAAGGCACAGUAGGCGUAUAGAGGCUCUAGAAUAGGAGAAAAUAGGGAAUAUACAAGAACAUUUUUUGAGGGCCAUUACUCAGACCACCUCACUCAAAAUGGCGUCUUCUUAUAUAUAGACUUUUACGGUGUUUUACGUAGUUACAGUCCACUUUAGCCACUUGGAAGGGUGAAUUAAUCUUCUAGCUAACUUUUCGUAGGCCCAGUAGGCGUCUAGAGACCCUAGAAUAGGAGAAAAUAGGGAAUAUACAAGAACAU